UGAAAGAGUUGGAGGUUAGAAGUAGGGAGAUAAAGCGAAUAAAUAGAGACAGCAGGUGGUUUCAGUUCUGGGUUAAUGGUUAGGGCUCAUGAGACGGUAGUGGAAGAAUGGUGGUUCGAAACUGAGAUGACGGAAUCGAUGGGUUGAAGGUGAAUAGAUGGUGGUGAUUGGAGCUGUAGGUUUGAUUCCGGUCGGAUUAGGGUUCUGCAAGGGCAGCGACGCUGACGAAUUAGACCAAGGUCAAUGAGGCUGAUUGCGGCAAUAGUAACGUUUUCCGAUGCCAUAUGCUGUAGAAUACGGGCCUAUAAAGUUAGGUGAGCUCCAGCGAACCAUGAAACAACCGAUUCUGGUGGAAAUGGUGCGUCAUAAGUCCAGAUCGAGGACAACAGGAGUGGUAUCACCAAACAUUGGCAGGUUAAUGACACGGUCACCAGAUGUACUCAUACUCCAGAUGAUGCCAUUUUCAAGAAAGAAGUAGCGCAUAAAUGGGCAUUAAGUUCGAAUUUCCAAGUUAGACAACUUGAUCGAGUUCGAAGCUGAAUAACUUACCAUGGCCGACUGUCGGACUUACCAUUGCUAUUGUGCUGCUUCUGCUGAAUAACUUCCUAUUCCUAACAUGGACUUACCUAUUGUGUCCAUAGUUGCAAGUCAUAGAGGUGGCAAAAUGCCUGUGGGUCAAUCUGCAAUCGGGAGGGUAAUCCGGUAACUAAGGUGUUUUGGUGUGGGAUCGACCCACAACUACUUUUUAUCGAAUUUUUGAUAUUUUAAUGUUAUUUCCGUUUUUGAUCCAUUGAACCAAUGUUUUUAGUAAAUUUUGUUAACCGGUUGACCCAUUUCACCAUCUUUAAUAAACAAGUCAAGUUAUCAUUUUUAAUAAUCAGAUCAAGUUAUCAUUUUUAGUAACUAGAGAUUACCAUUUUUAAUAAACCAGUCACGGGUCCAGGUUACUAUUUUAAUUACGUCGGUCAAGGUUAAAGGCUACCAUUGAUCUAUUAGUAACUUUUUUUCGGUGAAUGCAAUUAACUUCAACACAUGACUGCAUUUUAUCGUGUCUUGUUUGGUCGAUUGACAAACUACUUUUUGGUUGUGUCGUGUAAAAAUAAUUGAUGGUAUAAAUAUUAUUAGAAAGAUUACAUUGUUUUCUCUUUUCAUAGUCUGAGAAGCUGAGGUACUUCUUUACAUUAGAUUGGAGGUGAAAUAUUGGACAGUCAGGCUGGUUUCGUAGCCCGUCUAAACCGGUAUUGUAUACUUGUAAACAGGCCUAUUGCUGAAUGAUGGGAUAUGAGUUUUUCUUGGAUUUAGAUUCAGCUCCUCAAAUUGCUUACUUUUAAUAUGUUCUCAUUUUUAAGCUAGGGUUAGCUAUCAGAAGUUAUUAAAAUGUUUGUACUGAAUAUGCAAACCACCUAAACCUCAAAGAAAAAAUUACAUGUUCCAGGCUACAAGUCAAUGGAACCUGAUUGGGCUAAAGUUGGGUUACAAGUGCAAACAGGAAGAUGCCCCUGAUCCAAUGGUGAGCGUUGUUUGGCCAAAGGCUAACCACUCAUGUCAUACAACUAGAGGCUGCGUGCUUUAUUAGCAGCCACCAUCGUGGCCGAGGAUGUUACCGGUAACCUCACCAAACACUAAUCAAAUACAUUGUAUGUUAGGAAGCAUAAGUUAGUUGUAUUGCAAUUACUUAAACUAUGUAAACUUAACCAUAAAAUACUGACUAGCAUGGAAAAAGAAUAGCAUAGGACACCGUCUUCAUUGUAACAAGACCAUUGUUAACAUACAAAUAACCUAGGUGACAUUAUUAUUUAAUUGAGUCAAGGAAUGGAAAAAAGUAUUAUUUUUGUUUUUG